CUACGGGGGGCUCCAGUGGGGAAUAUUGGACAAUGGGGGAAACCCUGAUCCAGCAAUGCCGCGUGUGUGAAGAAGGCCUGCGGGUUGUAAAGCACUUUCGGUUGGGAGGACUGCUUCUAGCACUAAUAUUGUUGGAAGUUGACGUUACCUUCAGAAGAAGCACCGGCUAACUCCGUGCCAGCAGCCGCGGUAAUACGGAGGGUGCAUGCGUUAAUCGGAAUUACUGGGCGUAAAGCGCGCGUAGGCGGCUAGAUCAGUCGGGUGUGAAAGCCCCGGGCUUAACCUGGGAACUGCAUCCGAUACUGUCUAGCUUGAGUACAGGAGAGGAGAGUGGAAUUCCACAUGUAGCGGUGAAACGCGUAGAUAUGUGGAGGAACACCAAUGGCGAAGGCAGCUCUCUGGCCUGAUACUGACGCUGAGGUGCGAAAGCGUGGGGAGCAAACAGGAUUAGAUACCCUCGUAGUC
rnacentral:rRNA from 1 species